AUGAAUAAGCGCGAGCAAAAACCCGUAACCCAUCUGCACAGUUCACCGCCACCGGGUGCAGUAACUUCCGACCGUUGCCCAACCGCGAGCGCGUCUCCGAACAACCAUCAUCAACGACCCAUACUUAUCGGCAAUACUCCAUCCUUGCCAUCAGGAGUCCCCGAUUUCAGAUUCAUUCCGAAUCAUCAAGGAGAAGGCAACACAAACUGGCGCAGUGGUAAGAUGAAAGGCUAUGGAAGGAGAGGGUUUGGGUUUAAGUCCCAUCCCAUGCAAUUUCUUUUUACUAACUCCUUUUCUUGUUUAUUUCCAUUAAUUAAUUUUGUUAUAACUAGUAAUUAG